AACGAACGCUGGCGGCAUGCCUAACACAUGCAAGUCGAACGAGACCUUCGGGUCUAGUUGCGCACGGGUGCGUACCGCGUGGGAACCUGCCCUUAGGUUCGGAAUAACUCCCCGAAAGGGGUGCUAAUACCGGAUAAUGUCUUCGGACCAAAGAUUUAUCGCCUUUGGAUGGGCCCGCGUUGGAUUAGCUAGUUGGUAGGGUAAAAGCCUACCAAGGCGACGAUCCAUAGCUGGUCUGAGAGGAUGACCAGCCACACUGGGACUGAGACACGGCCCAGACUCCUACGGGAGGCAGCAGUGGGGAAUAUUGGACAAUGGGCGAAAGCCUGAUCCAGCAAUGCCGCGUGAGUGAUGAAGGCCUUAGGGUUGUAAAGCUCUUUUACCCGGGAUGAUAAUGACAGUACCGGGAGAAUAAGCUCCGGCUAACUCCGUG
rnacentral:rRNA from 1 species